UGAUCCAAUGAAUGUUCGUUCAUUGAGCAUGUCUUGCGCAUGCGCUGUGCCAAGUCGCUCCACCCAACAUAGGGGGCAGCACUGACAACAGCCUCACUUGACUCUGCCCAAUAACACAGUAGAAUAUGACAUGUGCGCCAUGUGCUCUGGCCUCUGAUCAUCCCUAGAAACGUGACCGAGACCUCGCCAUCCCACUGCCAAGCUUCUCCACGAUGAAAGGCUUCACUGAGUGCCGCACUGGAUUUAUCUACAUGAAGGCAAUAUGUGAUCAAAUUGCUGAUGAUUUUCCUUGGAGACCCUGUUAAUGAAAUAAGAAUCAGCAAGAAUGCAGUGUGGUGGAGGAAACAAUGGCAGUUGUCACAAGUUGUUGCUGGUUGCUAUGUAACUACUUGCAUAUCGCUGUAUUCAGUGAUGUUCACAUUUAUGCACUGUUAAUAAAAAGUAAAAUAAUUCAAUGUGUUGUGAAAUUAUUAAGAUUAUAGGACCACUAUAAAAUAAAAGUUCAAAUAGAUUGUA